UACAGAGGGGGCAAGCGUUAUUCGGAAUUAUUGGGCGUAAAGAGCUCGUAGGCGGUUUGUCGCGUCUGCUGUGAAAACCUAAGGCUCAACCUUGGGCUUGCAGUGGGUACGGGCAGACUAGAGUGCGGUAGGGGUGACUGGAAUUCCUGGUGUAGCGGUGGAAUGCGCAGAUAUCAGGAGGAACACCGAUGGCGAAGGCAGGUCACUGGGCCGCAACUGACGCU
rnacentral:rRNA from 1 species